UGACUCCGUACACCCAUCGCCGCCGUAAACAACCACCUCAGCCGCUGCGUUCCGUCGCGCGCUACCGUCACUAAUUAUUUUACAAGCUUUAAGCUUUUUUACAGCUCAAGCAUCGUUGACUUGGUUAUUCCACGUUUGGUUGCUGAAAAGAAAAAGAGGAAAACAAGAAAUAAGAAACUACAUUUAGGUGUUUAUUCUUUGUUUAUCAAAACAUUAAUUGGAUCAGUGCUUUUA
rnacentral:misc_RNA from 1 species